rnacentral:rRNA from 1 species
GACGAACGCUGGCGGCGUGCUUAACACAUGCGAGUCGAACGGAAAGGCCCUGCUUUUGUGGUUUUCUCGAUUGGCGAACGGGUGAGUAACACGUGUGUAACCUGCCCUUGACUUUGGGAGAACUUCAGGAAACUGGGGCUAAUACCGGAUAGGAGCUCCUGCUGCAUGGGGUGGGUUGGAAAGUGUCGGCGGUUGGGGAUGGACUCGCUGCUUAUCAGCUUGUUGGUGUGGUAGUGGCUUACCAAGGCUUUGACGGAUAGGCGGCCUGAGAGAGUGACCGGCCACAUUGGGACUGAGAUACGGACCAGACGCCUACGGGAGGCAGCAGUGGGGAAUCUUGCACAGUGGGCGGAAGCGUGAUGCAGCAACGCCGCGUGCGUGAUGCCCGCUUUCGGGUUGUAAACAGAUUUCGAAUGUGACGAAGCGUGCGUGACGGUACUGGGUAAAGAAGCACCGGCUAACUACGUG